AUACGUAGGGGGCGAGCGUUGUCCGGAAUGAUUGGGCGUAAAGGGCGCGUAGGCGGCCCGGUAAGUCUGGAGUGAAAGUCCUGUUUUUAAGAUGGGAAUUGCUUUGGAAACUGUUUGGCUGGAGUGCGGGAGGGGUAAGCGGAAUUCCUAGUGUAGCGGUGAAAUGCGUAGAUAUUAGGAGGAACACCGGUGGCGAAGGCGGCUUACUGGACCGUAACUGACGUUGAGGCUCGAAGGCGUGGGGAGCAAACAGGAUUAGAUACCCUGGUAGUCCACGCGGUAAACGAUGAUCACUAGGUGUCCGUGGGUAUGACCCAUGGGUGCCGCAGCCAACGCAAUAAGUGAUCCACCUGGGGAGUACGUUCGCAAGAAUGAAACUCAAAUGAAUUGGCGGGG
rnacentral:rRNA from 1 species